CCCAUACCAUAAGUGUCACACCCGUUUACCUGUUUUGUUGUGCCUGUCAUGUCAUCGAACACGUCAUCACACAGUACAUGGCCUCGUUUAUGUCUACUGCGACAUCAACGCAACCAGGCCCUAUGUGUGCUUGUGGGUACGGGCAUUGUGUGGUCAAGAUUUCUCGGUCCGCCAAAAAUCCAGGACGUGCGUACUACCAAUGCCCUCGUGGAGUGCCAUGUGUCAAUUGGAUUGGGUGGUGUGACGAAUAUGGCCGACAAACGGCUGCUGAGAAUGACAGAGACAAUGGUCGUCGUUUUGAGGCGCGUUUGAUUGACAUUGAACAGAGUCUGCGUGUACUUAAAGUUGUCACAUGUUUUUUGUCCAUCAUCGUCGCUAUCUUGUUGUUCCGUAUGUAAUAUAUGUAACAGUGUUUAGAUGGUUAUUGUACUA